CCGCCACUCCCAGAAGCUCACGCAGACAGAGCCCUACCCCCAGAAGCAGACAGAUAGACAGACACAGCCCCACUCCCAGAAGCUCACACAGGCAGACAAAGCCCCGCCCCCGAAAACUCACACAAUCUUUUCACAGCCCGACCACGCCCAGGCGCUCGCACGGACAGACAGAGCCCCACCCCGAGAAGCGGGGACAGACGGACAGACACAGCCCCGCCACCCCGCGACGCGCACACACGCAGCCGGGCGGCGGGAAGCGGCUGGCGCGGGGCAGGGCGGGCGGCUGUUUUGCAAGGCCGGAGAGUCCCGGAGCAGCUGGGGCCGCAAGCGGCGAAGGCGGGUCCCUCCUGCCUGUCCGUGAAGCUCGGAAGGACCCGCCCGCGGUGCCCCGGGGCACCGGCCGGGUGUUGCCGCCGCUCGCCCCUUUCCGGGACCACAUGACGUGCCCCCGGGACGGGACAUGGCUGGGCCGGGGCACCGCUCCGCGGGGAAGCCGCUGCUGGUGAAAAUAGUGAUGGCCGGGGAGUCCUGCGUGGGGAAAACCUCCAUCGUGAGGAGGUACACGGAGCCCAGCCCGGCCGGGCCGCCCCCCGCCGCCUCUUACAUCGCCACCGUCGGCAUUGAUUUUAAAGUAAAAACAAUAACAUUUAAUGAUACAACAGUGAAACUUCAAAUAUGGGAUACUGCUGGUCAGGAACAAUUCCAUACAAUUAGUACUAGUUAUUUUCGUGGAGCACAUGGCUUUGUUCUGGUUUAUGACAUCACAAACUCAGACAGUUUUCAAGGUAUAACAAGCUGGAUGAAAGAUAUACACGAGAAAGCAGAUGACGAGGUGGAUAUAGUGCUAUUGGGUAACAAGUGUGAUAAGGAGACAGAACGUGUAAUUCCAAAGCAUAACGGGGAAAAGGACUUCCUGCUGUUGAGGUGGAAGGAACUCAGAUUCUCUCUUUUUCUGCCCUCCAUGGACCAACUGUCUGCAGCUCUUCUUCUAUGCGCUACACCUCCCUUUGGGGAGAGGCUGCCCUGGCAACUUGAAGUAGGCACUGGCUUUGCUGCAGCUUGCAUGGGAAUAUGGUGUACCUUUUUUUGAAACCAGUGCUACAGAUAACAUAAAUAUUGAAGAUGCCUUUUCAGUAUUGGUCAAAGAAAUAAUGAACAAGAAUUCCUACGUAUUGUGUGACUUAGAUGUGGUGGAUCUAAAUGAAAGUAAGAAAAAGAGAACUUGCUGCCAAUUGUGAAAUGUCACCUGCACUUCUGUCUGUCUUCAGGAAAUGUUAACUAUUUCAUAGGAAUACACAAAAGUGUUAAAAUGAAUUUGAUUACUUAGGCAAUUUCUGUAUGUUACAGAAAUCUUGUGCUGUAAAUAUUGACUUUACAAUGUAUACAGUACUGUAUAUACAUGAAUGUUCUAGUUUUUAAAGUGAAGUUAAAUCAAUUAUUUGUAUUUGGGACCUUUUAUGACCAGCACAGUGGGACUAUUCAUAUAUGCCAGUGUUUGCAGGAAUGGGACCUAAAUGUACAAUCCUUCUCUUGUUGAAGUUAAUAUCUGCCUUAAUUUUUUUUCUUUGUCAGUCUCUUUACAUAGUAAACCCUACAACAAGGGCCUCUCACUCAUGCAACCCUCUGAUCUAAAUGACCAAUUUAAAAUAUUCCCAAGGUUUCAAAUACAGUCUGAAUUACGUUUAAAUUAGAAGCGGCAAAGAGUCCUAUGGCACCUUAUAGACUAACAGAUUUAUUGGAUCAUAAGCUUUCAUGGGUGAAUACCCACUUCGUUGGAAGCGUGUAGUAGAAAUUUCCAGAGGCAGGUAUAAAUAUGCAAGCAAGAAUCAGGCUAGGGAUAACAAGGUUAGUUCAAUCAGGGAGGAUGAGGUCCUCUUCUAGCACUUGAGGUGUGAACACCAAGGGAGGAGAAACUGCUUUUGCAGUUGGCUAGACAUUCACAGUCUUUGUUUAAUCCUGAGCUGAUGGUGUCAAAUUUGCAAAUGAACUGAAGCUCUGAGCUGUAGCUCACGAAAGCUUAUGCUCUAAUAAAUUUGUUAGUCUCUAAGGUGCCACAAGUACUCUUUUUCUUUUUACGGAUACAGACCAACACGGCUGCUACUCUGAAACCUGAAGCUCAGCAGUUUCUCUUUGAAGUCUGGUCCCGAAGUUUUUUUGCUGCAGGAUGGCUACCUUUAACUCUGCUAUUGUGUGUCCAGGGAGGUUGAAGUGUUCUCCUACAGGUUUUUGUAUAUUGCCAUUCCUAAGAUCUGAGACAUCAUCAAUUAAAUUAGAGACCAUAACUGAAAUUCUGCCGGUCCCUUGGGUGGUCACUUAACAUACUUUUCUGGAUAGUUUGUUUUUGUUCUUUGGGGGUUUUUUG